rnacentral:rRNA from 1 species
ACGCUCGACACCUACGGGAGCAGCAGUGGGGAAUAUUGCACAAUGGGGGAAACCCUGAUGCAGCGACGCCGCGUGGAGGAAGAAGGUCUUCGGAUUUGUAAACUCCUGUUGUUGGGGAAAAAGAGGAUGGUACCCAACAAGGAAGUGACGGCUAACUACGUGCCAGUAGCCGCAGUAAUCUGAGCGGGCUGGCAAGGC